GACGAACGCUGGCGGCGUGCUUAACACAUGCAAGUCGAACGGAAAGGCCCUGCUUUUGUGGGGUGCUCGAGUGGCGAACGGGUGAGUAACACGUGAGUAACCUGCCCUUGACUUUGGGAUAACUUCAGGAAACUGGGGCUAAUACCGGAUAGGAGCUCCUGCUGCAUGGUGUGGGUUGGAAAGUUUCGGCGGUUGGGGAUGGACUCGCGGCUUAUCAGCUUGUUGGUGGGGUAGUGGCUUACCAAGGCUUUGACGGGUAGCCGGCCUGAGAGGGUGACCGGCCACAUUGGGACUGAGAUACGGCCCAGACUCCUACGGGAGGCAGCAGGGGGGAAUAUUGCACAAUGGGCGGAAGCCUGAUGCAGCAACGCCGCGUGCGGGAUGACGGCCUACGGGUUGUAAACCGCUUUCGCCUGUGACGAAGCGUGAGUGACGGUAAUGGGUAAAGAAGCACCGGCUAACUACGUG
rnacentral:rRNA from 1 species